rnacentral:tRNA from 1 species
CCUGCUGGAUAGCUCAGUUGGUUAGAGUGUGGUGCUGAUAAUACCCAGGUCGCAGGUUCAAUCCCCAUAUUCCUGCAUUGCAGGG